UUGAACCAAAUAUAAUUUUUUUUUGUUUUUUUUUUAUCUAUGUAAGUAUAUUCGUAAAUAUGUAUAUCAUAUUAUUUAUUUCGCAGUUUUAACGGAACCGGUAAUUGUUUAGAGUUUGAGCAACAUUAUCCAUUUGCUGGGCUACUUCUCACAUUUGCGAUGUGAACGAUAAAGUUAUCUGAUAAACGGUGGGACCCAAAAAUUUAAACAGAUGCUGAAAGUUGCUGGAAAUAUUAUAUUUUCGAUUAAAUUAUUCCGAAUGCAAAGUGUGAUGGAAGAGGGUUAAUCGGAAACGCAAAUACUUGAGGAGGUUAUGAAAUUGCAGUUCCACCUCUCAAAAGGUCAGCAUUAUUUAUUUUAUAAUGAAACACGUACCGAACACGUCAGAUGCGCUCCUAAUGGCUCUCUCCUAUACCCGACACUCUAAUAUAUGUAAGCUCAGAAUCAGUUGAGGUCAUAUGAAGAAGUGCGCUGAGAAAAUUAAAGAUCAUUGGAUUGUCGUGGAAUGCUGUUUCAAUGUCAAAAGGAGCCUUUCUUGAAAGCAAAGCGUUGUUGCUGAGAUUUAAAAUGACAAAAACGUGUUACAACAAAAGUAUGGGGUUUACCUGCUGUCAAUAUGCAUAUUUAUUUACUAAUAUACACAACGUAUAUAUAUGUACAUAUGUAGGUAUACGCUUUGAUACAUUUCACCGUAUAGAGGCUGCCGUGAUCUUGAAAAGUGCAUGUGCAUUCAUAUAUACACGUAUGUACAACUGUAUAUAAAUAUGUGUAUCUAUAGGUUUAAAUCAUAUUUUAUUAAUUGAAAUUUAUUAGAAAUUUAGUACACAAAGAGGCUGUGCUUGAAAUGGAAUAGUAUUUGUUCUUCAUGUAUGUAUGUGCAUACAUAUGUGUACAAAAAAUUUGGAAUUAGAAAUUUACACCUAGGUAGUUUCUCGCAAUAAUUUAUAUAUUUGAAAAUAGUCUUUAUAGAAUAUUAUUUGGAUAUUUAAAAUCAUAUGAAAAUUAUUAUUAAUAUAUAGAGUUAUGUACUUAUUAUUUUGACCAUGUAUGUAUGUAUAUUUUCAAAUUUAACAUCUCCAUUAAAACGAAAAUCAGUAAAUGCAUUUUGAAUUGUAGUUGCAAAUGUUUUUUUCGACACUGUAUAUACAUAAAUAUGUGUGACGUUAAAAACAAAAUAAAAAACCAAAAUAAAAACGCA